rnacentral:rRNA from 1 species
AAUAUUGCACAAUGGGCGCAAGCCUGAUGCAGCAACGCCGCGUGAGGGAUGACGGCCUUCGGGUUGUAAACCUCUUUUGUCAGGGAAGAAGCCUUUGGGUGACGGUACCUGGAUAAAAAGCACCGGCUAACUACGUGCCAGCAGCCGAGGUAAUACGUAGGGUGCAAGCGUUGUCCGGAAUUAUUGGGCGUAAAGGGCUCGUAGGCGGCUUGUCGCGUCUGCUGUGAAAGCCCGAGGCUCAACCUCGGGCCUGCAGUGGGUACGGGCAGGCUAGAGUGCGGUAGGGGAGAUUGGAAUUCCUGGUGUAGCGGUGAAAUGCGCAGAUAUCAGGAGGAACACCAAUGGCGAAGGCAGGUCUCUGGGCCGCUACUGACGCUGAGGAGCGAAAGCGUGGGGAGCAAACAG